rnacentral:rRNA from 1 species
UGCAAGUCGAACGAUGAAGCCCUUCGGGGUGGAUUAGUGGCGAACGGGUGAGUAACACGUGGGCAAUCUGCCCUUCACUCUGGGACAAGCCCUGGAAACGGGGUCUAAUACCGGAUAACACCUUCCUCUGCAUAGGGGUUGGUUAAAAGCUCCGGCGGUGAAGGAUGAGCCCGCGGCCUAUCAGCUUGUUGGUGGGGUAAUGGCCUACCAAGGCGACGACGGGUAGCCGGCCUGAGAGGGCGACCGGCCACACUGGGACUGAGACACGGCCCAGACUCCUACGGGAGGCAGCAGUGGGGAAUAUUGCACAAUGGGCGAAAGCCUGAUGCAGCGACGCCGCGUGAGGGAUGACGGCCUUCGGGUUGUAAACCUCUUUCAGCAGGGAAGAAGCGAAAGUGACGGUACCUGCAGAAGAAGCGCCGGCUAACUACGUGCCAGCAGCCGCGGUAAUACGUAGGGCGCAAGCGUUGUCCGGAAUUAUUGGGCGUAAAGAGCUCGUAGGCGGCUUGUCACGUCGGAUGUGAAAGCCCGGGGCUUAACCCCGGGUCUGCAUUCGAUACGGGCUAGCUAGAGUGUGGUAGGGGAGAUCGGAAUUCCUGGUGUAGCGGUGAAAUGCGCAGAUAUCAGGAGGAACACCGGUGGCGAAGGCGGAUCUCUGGGCCAUUACUGACGCUGAGGAGCGAAAGCGUGGGGAGCGAACAGGAUUAGAUACCCUGGUAGUCCACGCCGUAAACGUUGGGAACUAGGUGUUGGCGACAUUCCACGUCGUCGGUGCCGCAGCUAACGCAUUAAGUUCCCCGCCUGGGGAGUACGGCCGCAAGGCU